GUCACAUUGUUUCCUACAGACAUUGAAUCUGACCACUCAGCUAGGCAUUGUUCACCAGAAGCAAGGACCUGCUGAAAACCUCGCCAGUAUCUUCCAAAAGGGACUUGAGGCAGGCCUUGGCCAAGGGACUUACAGCUCAAAGUCAACGUCAGAAGAGGCUUAACUAACCUCCUCACCUCUGCCGGUGGAAACUUAGCACUGCAGGAGCCCCUCCGAGGACCUGGCACCCAGUGCCCUCACUUUACAGAAUGAGGAGAUGGCAGCUCAGAGGGGUGAAGAUGCCACAUCAUCUGGCUGGCUUCUUAUUUGCCCAGGUCUCAAUCCAAAUGUCCCCUCCUCAGAGACCCUGGCUGCCCCGUCUAAGGUAGUCCUCCCACCCUCAAUCACUCGCUAGCCUUUUUUUGUUUUCUGUGUGUUAUAGUCUAAAAUUAUCUUACUCACGUAUCUCCUACUUUUUUCUCUGUCUCCUCAAAUAGAUUAAGUUGGUGCCUUAUCUGCCUUACUCAGGUCCCACCCCCAGCAUCUGGAACUCUGCCUAGCAGACGGCUGAGAGAUCCUCGCAGGCAGGAACUGUCUUAUCUUUCUACAACCCAAGGUCCUUGGGAAGUUGAGUGGGGAAACAUUUGAUAUAUUUUCAUGAGUAUUUAACCAUACAUUGUGGGAGAGAUAGCUUAUUAUGCUACCUUUAGUAAAGCACAGACUGACAACCAUCCUGUCACUGGGACACCAGCCUCGUUACUGAAGGUGUUAUGUAAGGCUAUGUGAUGUUCACCUAUGCUGUCCUGUCUCUCCACUGAGUUCUAAGCUUGUUGGGGAAGGGAUCGUGGCAUAUAUUUUUUUCUAAGUCUAGACUCAUUUAGUUGCAAAGAACUAAUUCAACUCAAAUUAGGUCAAGUUUUUAAUAAAUGCCUUAUUAGAAGGUUAUAGUAACAUCUCACACCACCACAGAACGAAGAGCAGGAGGAACAGCAGACCUGCAGACAACAGGAAGGGUGCUUGGAACAGAGCCGUCUCACCAGCCUUCAGAGCCAUGGGGUCUCCCUCAUCUUUGUGUUCCUCUGUCUCCUUUCUCAGCCCACUUUCUCUCCAUGCCUGUCCUCCCCCCGCCACACACAAAAACAUCUUUCCUUGACUUUGUGUUUUUCCAAUGGAUGCCCUAGGCAGCCCGGGUGGGACAAUUCUGUGUUAAGCUGAUUGUCAGGUGCAUUGGUGCAUAUUUUGCAUCCCCCAAUGAAUGCCAGUGACAUCUCCUUACUUGUUCAUUGUGGCAACCUGAAAUACCUCAAUGCCUUCCCAAAUGACCCCAACUCUGUGAUAAGAUGGGUACAGCAUCCACUUCCAACACAGUUUCAGUGUCUUCAGUUCUAAUUUUCCAGAGAGAAACUGAUUGAUUAUCCUGCAACCAUUAAAUUGGACCCUGUCCACUCAGCCAUGACUGGAAGGCUGCCAAGUCCUGCCCCUUCUGUAGGAGCUGAGAGAGGGAUUAUUCCCAGAGAGGGGUCUGUGAUGAGGCAGUUAUCCCCAGGAAAUUAUCUAUUUUUUCGCUCCUUGCUCCUGGACAUCGAGCUUUUGGUAAGUACCUAUAAAUAUGUAUUAACUGUUGAUUGACUAAAGGAUGGGGCCAGUGGAAGCUAUGGGAUAAUGAGACAGCCAAGUAUAAAGGGGUUACCGGAGAACCUCCAACCCACCUGGGUGUGGAGCCUCUUGAAAUUCACGAGGUUCCCCAGGGGUAGGGGAGGAGCCUGGCCUUUCCAGUUCCAGUGUGGUACCUGGGAUUCUAUCUGUGAGGUGGGAAGCCAGCUAGCUAGCAGGACUUUCGCUUUGCCGAGAGUUCCUAUUUCCCUUUUUUCCCUUUUUGUCCAACAAAUUCCAUUUUUCUCAUUCUUCAAAGUGUCUGCAAGCCUAAUCUCUCAUGGUUGUGUGACAAAGACCUCGUUUUCGCUGAACCAAGGAGAAAGUCCUAAACAGUAAUAGUCAUGUUUGCUCGGGAGGCCCAGUUUCUGUGCUGUCUCUCGCCACACUUUUGAGCCAAUACCUACAAGUCAUCUAUUUUCCCUUCUUUUUUCUUUUGAAUGCCAACCUUAACUCUGUCUUUCAUUUUCUCUAUUUCCACUAUCCCUUAUUAAGCAUUUUCUGUGCCCCUUUCAACCUUUUAUGUCCAUAAACAUGUGACCUUAGUGGUUCUCACUCCUCUUUGCAUACCAGAUAAUGUAAUAUUAACUUACUAAAACUUGAAUAUACUAUGUUGUAAUCACAAGAAUAUAUGAAAAUGCGCUAAUUUACCCCCAAAUUAACAUACUUUUUGCUUAUGUGUUUGCUUUGCACAGCUGUUCACUAUUUGAAGAGGCCAUCACAAUGCUCAGAAGAUAAUCAAAGAAGCUACUUAAGAAUAACAUGCCCUUUUAAAAAAUAAAAAACAAACAAUCCCCAUGCUGAACUUGGAAUGGUAAUGAGCUUGGGCAGGAACCCAACUGCGACCUCCAUGGCCAACCCACCCAGCUGGGAUAUUUGCAUUUUACACAAACCAUUUUAUGAUGCUAUAAAUUUCACAUUUUUACAGUUACAGGUCUUAAUCAUCAUGAAAACCAUUUCUGCACGUAUCUUUGGUAAACGGAAUUAAAAUUUCCACAUGA